AGCAACGGAUCUCUUGGCUCUCGCAUCGAUGAAGAACGCAGCGAAAUGCGAUAAGUAAUGUGAAUUGCAGAAUUCAGUGAAUCAUCGAAUCUUUGAACGCACCUUGCGCUCCUUGGUAUUCCGAGGAGCAUGCCUGUUUGAGUCUCAUGGA
rnacentral:rRNA from 1 species